UACGUAGGGUGCGAGCGUUAAUCGGAAUUACUGGGCGUAAAGCGUGCGUAGACGGUUAUUUAAGUCGGGUGUGAAAGCCCCGGGCUCAACCCGGGAAGUGCACUCGAAACUGCGGGGCUGGAGUCCUGGAGAGGAAGGCGGAAUUCUCGGUGUAGAGGUGAAAUUCGUAGAUAUCGAGAGGAACACCGGUGGCGAAGGCGGCCUUCUGGACAGUGACUGACGCUGAGACGCGAAAGCGUGGGGAGCAAACAGG
rnacentral:rRNA from 1 species